rnacentral:rRNA from 1 species
UACGGAGGGUGCGAGCGUUAAUCGGAAUUACUGGGCGUAAAGCGCACGUAGGCGGUUUGUUAAGUCGGAUGUGAAAUCCCCGGGCUCAACCUGGGAGCUGCAUUCGAUACUGGCAGACUUGAAUACGGUAGAGGGGGGUAGAAUUCCAGGUGUAGCGGUGAAAUGCGUAGAGAUCUGGAGGAAUACCAGUGGCGAAGGCGGCCCCCUGGACCGAUAUUGACGCUGAGGUGCGAAAGCGUGGGGAGCAAACAGG